GGAAGUAAAAGUCGUAACAAGGUUUCUGUAUGUGAACCUGCGGAAGGAUAUUAUCGAAUCCUACAAAAGAAAAUGACUAGUGAACAUGUGUUUUCAAUUAGGGAGGUGGGUAGUUUGGUUCAAACCUUUUUGCCUAUCUCUCCUUCGGUCGAUUGGUGCCUUGUAUGGUUCCUGAUUGCAUCGAAUAACAAAUUAAAAAUCCGGCAUGGGAAGCGACUCUCGGCAACAUAUAUCUAGGGUUGUCAAGGUUAAGGCUCUAUUAAAAUCUAAACGACUCUCGACAACAGAUAUCUAGGCUCUUGCAUCGAUGAAGAACAUAGCAAACUACGAUACUUAGUGUGAAUUGUAGAAUCUUGUGAACCAUCGAGUGUUUGAACACAAGUUGUGCCUGAAGCCACUAGGCUGAGGGCACGUCUGCCUGGGCAUCACAAGAUGUGUUGUCCCCUCGCAACUCGCCUCGUACGGGACGAGUGUUGCUAAUGGGGGGUGGAGAAUGGCCUCCCACGUAUAGGUGCGGCCGGCCUAAAUGGGAGUCCCUUAUCGUGGGGGUCACAUCAAGUGGUGGUUGAAAAGCUCAAACAAGUUGUGAACACCAUGCGAUGGAGGUAACGUUUUAGACGCUAAAGCGAUUCCCCUAUAGAGAAAGGCUCGUGACGACUGCGACCCCAGGUUUAGCGGGCUACCCACUGAGUUUACGCAUAUCAAUAAGCGGAGGA
rnacentral:rRNA from 1 species